rnacentral:rRNA from 1 species
UACGGAGGGAGCUAGCGUUGUUCGGAAUUACUGGGCGUAAAGCGCGCGUAGGCGGUUUUGUAAGUUAGAGGUGAAAGCCCGGGGCUCAACCCCGGAACAGCCUUUAAGACUGCAUCGCUAGAAUCCGGGAGAGGUGAGUGGAAUUCCGAGUGUAGAGGUGAAAUUCGUAGAUAUUCGGAAGAACACCAGUGGCGAAGGCGGCUCACUGGACCGGCAUUGACGCUGAGGUGCGAAAGCGUGGGGAGCAAACAGG